UACAGAGGGGGCAAGCGUUAUUCGGAAUUAUUGGGCGUAAAGGGCGCGUAGGCGGCCUGGCAAGUGGAAGGUGAAAUCCCUCGGCUCAACCGAGGACGUGCGGAAGAAACUGCGAGGCUCGAGUCCAGAAGAGGGGGGCGGAAUUCCCAGUGUAGCGGUGAAAUGCGUAGAUAUUGGGAGGAACACCGAUGGCGAAAGCAGCUCUCUGGGACGGUACUGACGCUGAGGCGCGAAAGCGUGGGGAGCGAACAGG
rnacentral:rRNA from 1 species